AAAUCAAGUUAAUAAAGGUCGUAUUGACGGUUUGAGUGCAAAUCAUUUGUGGCAUUACGUGGAGAAGAAAACCCCGCCAGCACGGAAUGUCGGCGCCAUAAAUGUACAUAAAAAAUCAACAACUUAUUCUCGUGGGUGUCUCACUUGAGAGAUAUAUAAUACCAAGACUUGUGAGGCAAAGGACGAUAAAAGACACAUAAACCAUAAUAACAUGUUUAAUAUUAUGUUAAACCCACGUGUACAUUGAAGGCAAUUAAAGCAUUUACCGUCAACUUUUUUUUCAUUUACCAUUGUCAGACUAUUUGUUGAUCAAGCGGCUCUCCUUAUGCAAGAAGGGCAAUGAAGCUUAAAACCACAACGCUGCUACAAUGCGUGUUGGCGGGCUAAGUGUGAUAAUGUUUAUCUCUGUAAACAUCACUUAUCAGAUUUUGACGAUAAAGACCGGGUGCUCAACAUGCUCUCUAACUCACAAGGCUGUACUACCAACUUCAACACAACCUUGGAUUGCUACUGAGAAUCUCUUGGAUAAAAAGCUGAAUAUUUGAUAGCUUACCAUAUAUCUUGCACUUAAUUGAUACGAAACCACAUAGCUACACCCUGGAACAACGAGUCAGUUACAAUUCGUCCUGUGGUGACCAUAAUUUGAUAAAUAUGAAAGCUAAUGUUAUCUAUUCAAAAUAUGUGAAAAUUGUAAUGUAAAAAGUAGCAAAUAAAAAUAUUACAU